UUGAUCCUGGCUCAGGACGAACGCUGGCGGCGUGCUUAACACAUGCAAGUCGAGCGGAAAGGCCCUUCGGGGUACUCGAGCGGCGAACGGGUGAGUAACACGUGAGCAACCUGCCCUCAACUUUGGGAUAAGCCUGGGAAACUGGGUCUAAUACCGGAUAUGAACCUUCAUCGCAUGGUGGGGGUUGGAAAGUGUUAGUGGUUGGGGAUGGGCUCGCGGCCUAUCAGCUUGUUGGUGGGGUAACGGCCUACCAAGGCUAUUACGGGUAGCCGGCCUGAGAGGGCGACCGGCCACACUGGGACUGAGACACGGCCCAGACUCCUACGGGAGGCAGCAGUGGGGAAUAUUGCGCAAUGGGCGGAAGCCUGACGCAGCAACGCCGCGUGAGGGAUGACGGCCUUCGGGUUGUAAACCUCUUUCAGCAGGGACGAAGCGGAAGUGACGGUACCUGCAGAAGAAGCACCGGCCAACUACGUGCCAGCAGCCGCGGUAAGACGUAGGGUGCGAGCGUUGUCCGGAAUUAUUGGGCGUAAAGGGCUCGUAGGCGGUUUGUCGCGUCGAAAGUGAAAUUCCGAGGCUUAACUUCGGGACUGCUUUCGAUACGGGCAGACUAGAGGUAGGCAGGGGAGAGUGGAACCCCAGGUGUAGCGGUGGAAUGCGCAGAUAUCUGGGAGAACACCGGUGGCGAAGGCGGCUCUCUGGGCCUUACCUGACGCUGA
rnacentral:rRNA from 1 species